rnacentral:rRNA from 1 species
UGGACCUCGGAUCAGGUAGGGAUACCCGCUGAACUUAAGCAUAUCAAUAA